rnacentral:rRNA from 1 species
AACGAACGCUGGCGGCAUGCCUAACACAUGCAAGUCGAACGAGAUCUUCGGGUCUAGUGGCGCACGGGUGCGUAACGCGUGGGAAUCUGCCCUUUGGUUCGGAAUAACAGUUGGAAACGACUGCUAAUACCGGAUGAUGACGAAAGUCCAAAGAUUUAUCGCCAGAGGAUGAGCCCGCGUAGGAUUAGCUAGUUGGUGUGGUAAAGGCGCACCAAGGCGACAAUCCUUAGCUGGUCUGAGAGGAUGAUCAGCCACACUGGGACUGAGACACGGCCCAGACUCCUACGGGAGGCAGCAGUGGGGAAUAUUGGACAAUGGGCGAAAGCCUGAUCCAGCAAUGCCGCGUGAGUGAUGAAGGCCUUAGGGUUGUAAAGCUCUUUUACCCGGGAUGAUAAUGACAGUACCUGGAGAAUAAGCUCCGGCUAACUCCGUGCCAGCCGCCGCAGUAA